CGAAAAAAAAAAAAAAAAAAAAACCCUGGUGCGUAACGUUUGCAUUAUUAUUAAAUUUGUUUCAUUUAGGUUAGUUCAUAAAACAGAAGGCUCGGAAGAAAUGGUGUAUGAUUGCACUAGGACUUGUUUACCACGCGUUGUUGACCUCGUUGUCCGUUUCUAAUCGGUCAGUUCUGAUUUUCAGUCUAAUUUGGCGUUGCUUUAUUUUUAUAUCCUCGUGAAGAGGUGCCAGAACAUUAUCCCCCUCCAGAAUCCACCACUCCGGCUAUGCGGACUGCUCUAUGAAUGCAGGUUUGGGAUCUGUACUCAGAGUAUACCUUAUGUACCUUACUUUCCGUCAGUCCACAUAUAACAACAUCCCGAUGUUCGCCGUGUUCGCCAAGCUGCUGUUUCUUUGUAUUUCGCCUUCUCUACCGCAGAACUUAUGUGUUUAACGUUAUUCCGGGUGUCUGACAUGAUGGUUUAUGACACACUAUCACCACUGACUGCGCAGGCAUGCGUACUGUAUGUGAGCGCUUUCGAAAGAGUUUUUGUGUUUCCAGUUAUUUUCGCGAAUGCCGUCAGUGUGUUCUUUACGUAUCCAGAUGUACGGCGUCUCGGUCCAUGAGCUGGUUUCAACUUCUUGUACAAGAUCCUUCCAGGAUCUGGAUUACCUGAAGCUCACACUAGCGAGCCCCACCAACAGUGGAAUCAAGUGAUCAGUGCAGAUGAAACCCACAUACCACUGGCAAAAAACAAUAAAGCAACCUGUCUCAGCGACUACAGGACCAUUGCACCGACUCCAAUAGUGAUGAGGUGCUUCCAGAGAACCAUCAUGAGUCACAUCCAGACCGUCACACCGGACCCUCUGGACCCUCUCCAGUUCGCCUCCAGACCAAACAGAUCCACAGAGGAUGCCGUCAGCACAACGAUCCACACAUAGAAAACAAGGACAGCUAUGUUUGAAUGCUGUUUAUCGAUUGUAGCUCAGCAUUCAGCACGGUGAUACCAUCGAAGCUCACCAACAAGCUUUCCACCCUCGGUGUGCCAUCCACCCUUCGCAGCUGGGUUCUGGACUUUCUAACGGGUCGAUCCCAGGUUUCCGUCCCUCGCAGAAAUCCCUUCACUGGGUGAAAGCCUCAUCCCCGUGCUCCGGCAUUCCCCCGACGGGACCUCGGCCUCGGAAGCAGAGGAAGACCGUGGAUGGGAGCGUGUGGGUUUUUCGGAUUCAGAGUCGUCUUGGUAAUCCAGAGAGAGAAGCGAAGAGGAGCUGUGAAGCGAGAGGGACAUCUCCCCAGCUUCCGCGCGAAAAGACACGGCUCGGCUACAGCUCCGGACUCUUUGAUGCGCUCACUUCCCGCUGUUUAUUCCGCUGCGUUGUUGUACAUAUUGUUUAAGUGAAAAAAGAAAUCGCCUUCUCGAAUUCAACCUUAUUUCAAGAAACCCUGCUCCAAUAACCCUGGAGUUUGGGCGCUCCAGUUAUUUCAAAGCUCUUCUCCAUCAGCUCUUUAAUAACAUCGAAGCGCAAAGUUGCAGGUCAGUUUCAUGAUAAAUCCCGCAUAAGAGAGGAUUUUAUCAAUAUUAUAUAUAUAUUUUCCCCCUUGAGCUGCACAGUAAGAUACAGCGAUAGUGAUCAACAGAUGAACUUUGAGAUAGGUUGCUAGAAAUGAUUUAAACGCAUAGAGGAGGACAGGGAGGUGGAAAAAAAAGCUUCUUGCCGUCUUUGGAACUCGAGCGGGAAUCGUUCAGAUCUGCCGACUGAAAGGGGAAAAAAAAAAAAAAAAAUCAGCACAAUUGCGUAUAUAUGUGUAUUUAAAAAAAAACCCCGCCCGCACAAAUGAAUAAUAAUAAAUAAAUAAAUAAAAACAGAAACAAACGAAGGAAAAUAACACGGAUAUUUCAGAAGGAAAAACCAAGUGUAGAAUGUUCUCUGUGCCUGGAACGAAGAAACAGCGGCUAUAAAAAGUCUACACACCCCUGUUAAAAUGGCAGAUUUUUCUGAUGUGGACAAAUGGAAGCAACACGACUCAUAUCCGAACCAUUUCCGCUCUCCGUGCAUACUCACAACAAGUGAAAAACAAUCAGAGACAUUUUAGGAAACAUUUUAGGUCAAGUAACCUGGCUGCAUAAGUGCGCACACCCUUUUAUAACUGGGGGUGUGGCUGUGUUCAGAAUCGACCAAUCACAUUCGAUCUCACGUUCAAAAGUAAUCAUCAUGCAGCAGUCAACGCAUCAAUUAUUCGGAUUAACCCCAAGUAAAGACCAGCUGUUUCUGUAGGACCUUCUUCACAUCUUCUUGGUUUCAUCUGACCGCUGAAGCCAUGCUCUGCAAAGAGCUGACAAAUAACAUCCGGGAUCUCACUCGGCGCGUUUACGUGGACGACGAUAAUCCGAUACGAACCCGAUUAAGACGAUACUCUGAUUAAGAAACCGGCACGUAAACGGAGAUUAUCGAUGACCUUAAUCCGAUUAAAGUCUCACUCGAUGUGAACGCGAACGGAAUUAAGACGUGCCGGGUAUUCCCGUUUUAGUCGUGUCAUCGACGUGCGUUCCAGACACGUACACACCUUGAUCACUGUAUUAACGCCUUGUGGGAGUUUUCACCGCAUUGUGCGACAGGACACGUACUCACACGGCAGCGCUCGACCGGUUGACGGCGAACGAGAGAGCACGGCCGCGUCCCAAACCGCGUACUUACCUACUAUACGCCUGUAGUAGAUGAAAUCCAUGUAUCUCGGCUACUAUACAGUAGGCAAGUACACGGUUUGGGACGCAGCCCACGGCAGUCGUAUAUUUGCACGUACGGCACGACAAAUAAUUAACCGCACUGGAAGCUUUCGUAAAAUUUUUUAAUAAAAACACCCAGAACCGUAUACGGUCCCAUAACGAAGACCAACUGUAUGUCGAUACGUGAAAUUCUGGAGGGAACGUCGGGCGGCGUGGAGCGGGGACGUAACGACGUGCGCCGUUAAUCGAGCUACGUUCUAUAACACAUAAAACGGGAACAUUAAAGGAGUAUUCUAAAAGUGACUCAUGUAAACACCUUAAUCAGAAUAUCGUCUUAUUCAGAAUAAGGUCAAUAAUUAGGUUACCGCCGUCCGUGUAAACGUAAUCAGCGUCGAAAGGACGAGAUUAAAUCCCUGCCGGGAGACCUACAGUAACAUUAAAGGAGCUGCAGGAAUAUCCGGCAAGUAAAAAAAAAAAAAUCUAACUACGCCUAAAUCAACCUAAACUAUGUUGCCGAAAUCUGUUGUGGUCUGAUAAGACCAAUGUAGAACCCUUUGGGCAUAAUUCAAAAAACAAGACAGUUUAUCACCCAUAGAACACCAUAGCCAUGGUGAAGCAUGGUGGAGGCGGAAUAAUGUUACGAGGCUGCUUCUGUUUAGCUGGGACUGGGACUGGAGUCGUGAUACAGGGAAUCAUGGAGCGCUCCAAAUACUAAUCUAUUUAGGCACAAAACAUGCACACCUCUAUUACCUCAUGCAUACCUUUUAAGUUGGUAGACUCGUAUUACAAGCGAAGGUGCUUUAACAUCGUUAGUUAAGGGGUGUACAGACUUAUGCAACAGGGUUGUCGUACAUUUUUUUCUUCUUCUCAAACCGUUUUGCCCCCCCCCGCAGUCGUAACAAAGAUUUGUAAACUUUUUAUAUCCAGUGUAUGUACAGUAUACAACCCCGAUUCCAAAAAAGUUGGGACAGUAUGGAAAACGCAAAAAAAAACCCAAACAAUAAGAGUCCUUCGUAUAUUCCGAUUCCACUGUUCUACUGUCCAUCUCAGAUGAGACCGAGCCCAGAGAAGUGGGCGGAGCUUCUAGACAGUGUCGAUGCACGGCUUCUGCUUUACAUUCACAGGCGUUUUUUUUUUCUUCGGAGGCUCCUUAUAUACUACGAUGAGACGACCGCCUCACCUGUUUCGCAUCACCUUCUUAUUUCAACUUCUCACGUCACUAUCAGUCCUAAAUUGCCCCCGUCCCGACUUCCGUCAAACGUAUCGCAUGCGUUAAUUUCAAAAUAAACGUUUAUCUUAAAAACAACGCAGUGGUGAUUCGAUGAAACAUCCCAAAGCUCGUCUUUAUAUGUUAUACAGGUCAAAGUACAUUUACACAUCACUCCUCGUUGUUUUAAUUACUAUUUUCCAUACCGUCCCAACUUAUUUUGGAAUUGGGGUUGUAUACAUAUGUACAGUAUGUGUGCAUUUUUCUUUCUUGCACUGGUGUGUGUGUGUGUGUGUGUGUGUGUGUGUGUGUGUGUGUCUAUAAGUGUAUGUGCAUGUGACUUUCACAUACGGCACAUGAGUUUUCAUUUUCACCCAUGAUCACAUGAUCACAUGUACUUCACUUCAUGUGCAGUUUCAUAACAUGUCGAAAUGCACGUGAUCACGCGUUACUCACGCAGUCACGUGACAAGCAUGAUCACGUGUGCAUAGACAGGCUCCAAGUUUCAUGCAUCCUUGACUGAGGGGUUUGGAUGAAAUGCAGUGGUGCUUUCUGGCCAGAUGGAUAUGAAAUUUGACUUAAAAAUAAUAAAUGGUUACAGUGCUGAGUAGCA